rnacentral:rRNA from 1 species
UAGGGAAUCUUCGGCAAUGGGGGGAACCCUGACCGAGCAACGCCGCGUGAGUGAAGAAGGUUUUCGGAUCGUAAAGCUCUGUUGUUAAGGAAGAACGAGUGUGAGAAUGGAAAGUUCAUACUGUGACGGUACUUAACCAGAAAGGGACGGCUAACUACGUGCCAGCAGCCGCGGUAAUACGUAGGUCCCGAGAGUUGUCCGGAUUUAUUGGGCGUAAAGCGAGCGCAGGCGGUUAGAAAAGUCUGAAGUGAAAGGCAGUGGCUCAACCAUUGUAGGCUUUGGAAACUGUUUAACUUGAGUGCAGAAGGGGAGAGUGAAAUUCCAUGUGUAGCGGUGAAAUGCGUAGAUAUAUGGAGGAACACCGGUGGCGAAAGCGGCUCUCUGGUCUGUAACUGACGCUGAGGCUCGAAAGCGUGGGGAGCGAACAGG